UUAAGUUAAUAAGGGCGCACGGUGGAUGCCUUGGCACUAGAAGCCGAUGAAGGACGUGACUAACGACGAAAUGCUUUGGGGAGCUGUAAGUGAGCAAUGAUCCAGAGAUGUCCGAAUGGGGGAACCCGGCAGGUAAUGCCUGUCACUCAUUACUGUUAAGGUAAUGUAGAGGAAGACGCAGUGAACUGAAACAUCUAAGUAGCUGCAGGAAGAGAAAGCAAAAGCGAUUGCCUUAGUAGCGGCGAGCGAAACGGCAGGAGGGCAAACCGAAGAGUUUACUCUUCGGGGUUGUAGGACUGCAAUGUGGACUCAAAGACUAUAGAAGAAUGGUCUGGGAAGAUCAGCCAAAGAGAGUGACAGCCUCGUAUUUAAAAUAGUCUUUGUACCUAGCAGUAUCCUGAGUACGGCGGGACACGCGAAAUCCCGUCGGAAUCUGGGAGGACCAUCUCCCAACCCUAAAUACUCCCUAGUGACCGAUAGUGAACCAGUACCGUGAGGGAAAGGUGAAAAGCACCCCGGGAGGGGAGUGAAAUAGAACCUGAAACCGUGUGCCUACAACAAGUUCGAGCCCGUUAAUGGGUGAGAGCGUGCCUUUUGUAGAAUGAACCGGCGAGUUACGAUAUGAUGCGAGGUUAAGUUGAAGAGACGGAGCCGUAGGGAAACCGAGUCUGAAUAGGGCGCUUUAGUAUUAUGUCGUAGACCCGAAACCAUGUGACCUACCCAUGAGCAGGUUGAAGGUGCGGUAAAACGCACUGGAGGACCGAACCAGGGCACGUUGAAAAGUGCUUGGAUGACUUGUGGGUAGCGGAGAAAUUCCAAACGAACUUGGAGAUAGCUGGUUCUCUCCGAAAUAGCUUUAGGGCUAGCGUCGACAUUAAGAUUCUUGGAGGUAGAGCACUGUUUGGGUGAGGGGUCCAUCCCGGAUUACCAAUCUCAGAUAAACUCCGAAUGCCAAUGAAUUAUGGUCGGCAGUCAGACUGCGAGUGCUAAGAUCCGUAGUCGAAAGGGAAACAGCCCAGACCACCAGCUAAGGUCCCAAAAUAAUUGUUAAGUGGAAAAGGAUGUGGGGUUGCACAGACAACUAGGAUGUUAGCUUAGAAGCAGCUAUUCAUUCAAAGAGUGCGUAAUAGCUCACUAGUCGAGUGACCCUGCGCCGAAAAUGUACCGGGGCUAAAACAAUUUACCGAAGCUGUGGAUACCUUUAUAGGUAUGGUAGGAGAGCGUUCUAUGUGUGAAGAAGGUAUACCGUGAGGAGUGCUGGAACGCAUAGAAGUGAGAAUGCCGGUAUGAGUAGCGAAAGACAGGUGAGAAUCCUGUCCACCGUAAGACUAAGGUUUCCAGGGGAAGGCUCGUCCGCCCUGGGUUAGUCGGGACCUAAGGAGAGACCGAAAGGUGUAUCCGAUGGACAACAGGUUGAUAUUCCUGUACUAGAGUAUGUAGUGAUGGAGGGACGCAGUAGGCUAACUAAAGCAGACGAUUGGAAGAGUCUGUCUAAGCAGUGAGGUGUGAUAUGAGUCAAAUGCUUAUAUCUGUAACAUUGAGCUGUGAUGGGGAGCGAAGUUUAGUAGCGAAGUUAGUGACGUCACACUGCCAAGAAAAGCUUCUAGCGUUUAAACAUACUCUACCCGUACCGCAAACCGACACAGGUAGUCGAGGCGAGUAGCCUCAGGUGAGCGAGAGAACUCUCGUUAAGGAACUCGGCAAAAUGACCCCGUAACUUCGGGAGAAGGGGUGCUGGCUUUACGUCAGCCGCAGUGAAUAGGCCCAAGCAACUGUUUAUCAAAAACACAGCUCUCUGCUAAAUCGUAAGAUGAUGUAUAGGGGGUGACGCCUGCCCGGUGCUGGAAGGUUAAGAGGAGUGCUUAGCGCAAGCGAAGGUAUGAAUUGAAGCCCCAGUAAACGGCGGCCGUAACUAUAACGGUCCUAAGGUAGCGAAAUUCCUUGUCGGGUAAGUUCCGACCCGCACGAAAGGCGUAAUGAUUUGGGCACUGUCUCAACGAGAGACUCGGUGAAAUUUUAGUACCUGUGAAGAUGCAGGUUACCCGCGACAGGACGGAAAGACCCCAUGGAGCUUUACUGCAGUUUGAUAUUGAGUGUCUGUACCACAUGUACAGGAUAGGUAGGAGUCUAUGAGAUCGGGACGCCAGUUUCGAAGGAGACGUUGUUGGGAUACUACCCUUGUGUUAUGGCCACUCUAACCCGGAUAGGUGAUCCCUAUCGGAGACAGUGUCUGACGGGCAGUUUGACUGGGGCGGUCGCCUCCUAAAAGGUAACGGAGGCGCCCAAAGGUUCCCUCAGAAUGGUUGGAAAUCAUUCGUAGAGUG
rnacentral:rRNA from 1 species